CGAGUCGGCAGGGCGGCCGCGUUCCCGGCCACGAGCCGGGACCGAGGAAAGUCCGGACUCCGAAAGGGCAGGGUGGUUGCUAACGGCAACCCGAGGUGACUCGCGGGACAGUGCCACAGAGAACAGACCGCCUCGCCACAAGCGGGGUAAGGGUGAAACGGUGCGUGUAAGAGACCACCGCGGCCUGGGUGACCAGGCUGGCACGGCAAACCCCACCCGGAGCAAGGCCAAGAGGGAACCGCGAGGUUCCUGCGCAGGCGUUCGAGGGCGGCCCGCCCGAGCCUGCGGGUAGGCCGCUGGAGCCUGUCGGCAACGGCAGGCCUAGAUGGAUGGUCGCCGCCGCUUUCGCGCAAGCGGACGCGGCACAGAAUCCGGCUUACGGCCGGCUCGUCCG
rnacentral:RNase_P_RNA from 1 species